rnacentral:rRNA from 1 species
AUUGAACGCUGGCGGCAGGCCUAACACAUGCAAGUCGAACGAGUGGCGGACGGGUGAGUAAUGUCUGGGAACCUGCCUGAUGGAGGGGGAUAACUACUGGAAACGGUAGCUAAUACCGCAUCCCAUCGGAUGUGCCCAGAUGGGAUUAGCUAGUAGGUGGGGUAAAGGCUCACCUAGGCGACGAUCCCUAGCUGGUCUGAGAGGAUGACCCGCCAAACUGGAACUGAGACACGGCCCAGACUCCUACGGGAGGCAGCAGUGGGGAAUAUUGCACAAUGGGCGAAAGCCUGAUGCAUCCAUGCCGCGUGUAUGAAGAAGGCCUUCGGGUUGUAAAGUACUUUCAGCGGGGAGGCGUUACCCGCCGAAGAAGCAACGGCUAACUCCGUGCCAGCAGCCGCGGUAAUAC